UAGGGAAUAUUGCUCAAUGGGGGAAACCCUGAAGCAGCAACGCCGCGUGGAGGAUGAAGGUUUUAGGAUUGUAAACUCCUUUUGUUAGAGAAGAUUAUGACGGUAUCUAACGAAUAAGCACCGGCUAACUCCGUGCCAGCAUCCGCGGUAAUACGGAGGGUGCAAGCGUUACUCGGAAUCACUGGGCGUAAAGAGUGCGUAGGCGGGGUAAUAAGUCAGAUGUGAAAUCCUGUAGCUUAACUACAGAACUGCAUUUGAAACUGUUACUCUGGAGUGUGGGAGAGGUAGGUGGAAUUCUUGGUGUAGGGGUAAAAUCCGUAGAGAUCAAGAGGAAUACUCAUUGCGAAGGCGACCUGCUGGAACAUUACUGACGCUGAUGCACGAAAGCGUGGGGAGCAAACAGG
rnacentral:rRNA from 1 species